UGGGGAAUAUUGGACAAUGGGCGCAAGCCUGAUCCAGCAAUACCGCGUGAGUGAUGAAGGUCUUCGGAUCGUAAAGCUCUUUUAGUGGAGAAGAUAAUGACGGUAUCCACAGAAAAAGCACCGGCAAACUUCGUG
rnacentral:rRNA from 1 species